UACGUAGGGGGGCAAGCGUUGUCCGGAAUUAUUGGGCGUAAAGAGCGCGUAGGCGGUCCGGUAAGUCCGCUGUGAAAGUCGGGGGGCUCAACCCUCGGAUGCCGGUGGAUACUGUCGGGCUUGAGUACGGAAGAGGCGAGUGGAAUUCCUGGUGUAGCGGUGAAAUGCGCAGAUAUCAGGAGGAACACCAAUUGCGAAGGCAGCUCGCUGGGACGUUACUGACGCUGAGACGCGAAAGCGUGGGGAGCAAACAGG
rnacentral:rRNA from 1 species